rnacentral:tRNA from 1 species
ACCAUUGUGGUGGAAAGGAAGACACACUAGACUUAAAAUCUGGAGCAUAAGCUAUAUGAGUUCAAAUCUCAUCAGUGGUA